UUCUUCCUUUGGGCAAACAGAACAUUUAAACGACAUCUUUUCAUUGAGCAAUGUGACUAGUACAUGCGCAAACGAGAUGGAGAAGGGGCCUAGCAGCAUACGUGUGCCAACAUGGUACACUCGUGGGAGAUUGAGUUAGACGGCUGGUUAUUGGAAUGAAAGUCAGGCUGGUCUGCUUGUCAGAGGCAUGCUUAAGGAUGGCAGUGGUUAGUGAGGGAGUAAUCCUCAAAGAGAGCGUAAUUCUUGGGUAUCCGAGUGGUGUGAAGAUUUUCGUGAACUGGCAGGGGAUAGAGACUUUAUAAUGCAAUCACUAGGGCUUUUGGAGACUACAUUCCUGCUUCAAAGCCAAGCUCUAUUUUGAAUGAGUUGAGAACAUUUAAAUGCCAUCAUUUCAUUGAAGAAUGCGAGUGGGACUCAUGCAAAUGAGAUAGAAAAGGGGCCUAGCAGCGCACGUGCCAACAUGGUGCACUUGUGGGGACUGGGUUAGGCAGCUAGUGAUUUUUGAACCAAAAAUCAGGCCAAUCUGCUUAUCAGGAUUGGAGGCAUACUUAAGCAUGGUAGUGGUUAGUGGGGGAGUGGAUCCUCAAAGAGAGCUGAAGUCUUGGCUAUUAGAACUGGCGUGGAGAUUUUCAUGGUGGACGAAGACUCUAUAAUGCAAUCGCUUUGGCCUCUUAGAAGUGUAUUCCUGUUUCAAAGUUGAGUGCUAUUUUGAAUAAGUAAAGGUUGAAAUCUUGUAUCUUGGAAAUCUCACGUGUAGAUGUUGACAGAUGUCUUAAAAUUUGUAAAUUCAACAGUCUGUCGAUGAUAUUGAAGUAGGUUCAAUGCCGACGGUAUGUCAAUGUCAUCGAAGUCCCAUCAAAGGUGCCAUCGAACAUAUGGUAAGAUUUAUGUGGAGUUGUGUAUCUGCGAGAUUUGUUUUUUAUUUUGAUUGUGAUUCUCUUAGAGGUUAUAUACAAGAGUGAAAUCGAAAUCUAAGGGUAUUCUAUAAUUCGUUCCUAGGGUUUCAAAGGGCUUGUAAAGGAGAUUCGAGGCUUGUUCGAAUCGGGUAUUCCCAUUAUCUAUUGUAAUUUCUACUUUCAUAGUGAUUAUUGUCGCUUUGUGCCGUGGUUUUUUCCCGAAAGGGCUUUUCCACGUUAAAUUCGGAGUCUUUGUGAUUGGGCUUCUUUGUGCAUUUGGAAAACUCUGCUUGAUUCAUCUCCGUGUGCUACCAUGGUCCCCCAAUGACAGAUUCCUAGUAGCUGGUUUUAAUUGGAAUGCUGACUCUCUUCCAAAGGGUACUAUAGAUCUUCUCGUUGUGAUUGGGAUUCUAAUCCAUUGCCUUGAAGGCUUUUGUUUCUUUCUU